UAGUGAAGGACUUUACUCGUUUCUCAUGAGCAAGAGUAUUUGAAAGUUCAAGUUUUAGUGGACAGGAUGUAUUGCCUGACGUUUCGUGGAACUUUCUAUAGUGUAUUUCUUGAUAUCAGUUUGUUAUUUGAUACCGGUAAGUCCGUAUUGGAAGAUGCCAAUCCGUAAUGAAAACGCGCAGCACAUGCUUACAUCUCCGUGGACAGGGCUUCAGUGUGCAUUGAUAGCAAAGCUGCAAGAAGCUUUUAAGUGGCUCUUAUGGUCUCUUAGUGUAUCUUGGGCUCUUCUCACUCACUGUGCGGUGGCGCAGAUAUAGGCUAAGAUUAAGAACCUUGGUACAAGCUGUGUGUAAAAUUUCUCGUGGGUUUUCGCUAUUUUCCUCUUAGUGUCUCGUGUUCAGAUUUAGUUACAUAUCAAGCUCCGGAGUGUACUUCGUACUAUAGAGUACUGCGUGUGUGUGGGUGGUGUCUGGUAUUUGUGUAACGAUCCGACUAGUAGGCAAUACUGUCUGAAGCGUUUUGAACCCCGCCUUGGAUUUAGAGCCCGUGACUUCACAGUGUAUCGCCGCUACUUGACAGCUUCGUUCCUACUCGAGAUCGAGGAAGCCUGAGCAUGGAUGUGCGAUUACCUAGCUGCCCUCCAUACCAGCUAUAUUAUAUUACAGGCUUAUCCAUGGUCUCUUAGUAACCCUUAGUUUAACCGUGGGCUUAUCCAGGCCGUAAUCCAUCCUCUCGCUAGGAAUCGUAGUUAAGAAAUAUCUGCUUUCUUAAGUGUUGAUGUAAAACUUGUGAUUGUAUAACUGUGGUGAAAUGCAGAAAUAGGUUUACAUAAUAUGGUGUUUCAUGUUUUCACCAGAGGAAGUGUGGGGAGGAAAACCCGUUGUGCCAAACAUGUGGUCUGAGAUGGGUGUUCACUUGUUGAGAGUAUACAAGGGAGAAGGUCGGGUCAUGCCGGUCACCCCCUAAACAUGGAGGAAGAGUCUCGGACGUCAGUCAGGAGAUCAAGCGCGUCCCACCACAAGUCUGGCACAUGCAAGGACGAAAUAGACUACGAGAUGUAGUGACAGACUGGGUGAAGUGAGAGAGGAGUUAGGAGUGGCCGUUAUAAAGGCCUGACUCAGCAGUCCCAAGUCACUUAUAACAUAAAGAUAAAGACCGGCGUCCCAACAACUCUGCACACUACCAGCAUCUUUGCACACUACCGAACUUCUGAGAGCUACGUCGGUUUCAUCCCAGCUGUGUGUGAUAUAGCAGUCCAUCUCAUGUCUGCCUCUUCAGAAGAGGACGCAGACUGAGGAGGCGUGCGGUCCGACACGUGUAGGGGCUGGGCCGUUUCAAGUCGUUCAUUGGAGGCGUAGGUCAUCAGGAAUUGUUCGGUCUUGGUGUCAAAGGUUCUGCUACUACUGGAGGGAGAACCAAACCAGCGUGUCCGAUCAACCCCCGACUUGAUGCAGGAUACUGGCUCCUCUUGCACUGGAACACGGUUUCGCUGCACCUUCCCCGGAGGAACUGAACCCUACCUCGAACCAGCUUCUCCAGGGAAGGGGGACACACUGGCUCGCUCCACCUUCCACGGAGGAAUUGGACCCUGCCUCGCACCAGCUCUGUCGCAGCUGGUAACACGGUGGUGCCAUCCAGGGAGGGAAGUCACACUUCCUCGCUGCACCAUCCGCGGGGGGAUUUGACCCUGCCUCGCACCAGCUUUGUCCUGGUUACGUGAUGCCAUCCAUGGAGGAAUUGGACACUGCCUCGCACCAUAUGUCCUGGUAAUGUGGUGCCAUCCAUGGAGGAAGGACAGACUAGCCUGCUUCAUCUAACCUAACUAAUAAUAAAUGUUGCCAUCACUCUUGUAAAGUUCAUUAUUCCUUCCAUCUAAUGUGAAUGUACCCACAGUGUAAUGUUGUUUAUUAAUCCUUCCAUGUUCUGUGAUGUACCCACAUGACUGUUGUUAGUACUUAGUAAUAAAUCAUGGUUGAAUUAAUA